CCUACGGGAGGCAGCAGUGGGGAAUUUUGGACAAUGGGCGCAAGCCUGAUCCAGCAAUGCCGCGUGAGUGAAGAAGGCCUUCGGGUUGUAAAGCUCUUUUGUCAGGGAAGAAACGGUCUACUCUAAUACAGUGGGCUAAUGACGGUACCUGAAGAAUAAGCACCGGCUAACUACGUGCCAGCAGCCGCGGUAAUACGUAGGGUGCAAGCGUUAAUCGGAAUUACUGGGCGUAAAGCGUGCGCAGGCGGUUAUAUAAGUCAGAUGUGAAAUCCCCGGGCUCAACCUGGGAACUGCAUUUGAGACUGUAUGGCUAGAGUGUGUCAGAGGGGGGUAGAAUUCCACGUGUAGCAGUGAAAUGCGUAGAUAUGUGGAGGAAUACCGAUGGCGAAGGCAGCCCCCUGGGAUAACACUGACGCUCAUGCACGAAAGCGUGGGGAGCAAACAGGAUUAGAUACCCUGGUAGUCCACGCCCUAAACGAUGUCUACUAGUUGUCGGGACUUAAUUGUCUUGGUAACGCAGCGUACGCGUGAGUAGACCGCCGCGGGUAAGGUACGGUCGUUCGAGUAAGUUAAACGUUAAAGUUAAGUUAAGUUAGUUACGGCGUUGAGACGUUAGCCGACGGACGACGACCGACGGGGAGGUUAGGAGG
rnacentral:rRNA from 1 species